rnacentral:rRNA from 1 species
GAUGAAGGGCGUGCUAAUCUGCGAUAAGCGCCGGUAAGGUGAUAUGAACCGUUAUAACCGGCGAUACCCGAAUGGGGAAACCCAGUGUGACUCGUCACACUAUCAUUAACUGAAUCCAUAGGUUAAUGAGGCGAACCGGGGGAACUGAAACAUCUAAGUACCCCGAGGAAAAGAAAUCAACCGAGAUUCCCCCAGUAGCGGCGAGCGAACGGGGAGGAGCCCAGAGCCUGAAUCAGCAUGUGUGUUAGUGGAAGCGUCUGGAAAGGCGCGCGAUACAGGGUGACAGCCCCGUACACAAAAGCGCAUGUGCUGUGAGCUCGAUGAGUAGGGCGGGACACGUGGUAUCCUGUCUGAAUAUGGGGGGACCAUCCUCCAAGGCUAAAUACUCCUGACUGACCGAUAGUGAACCAGUACCGUGAGGGAAAGGCGAAAAGAACCCCGGCGAGGGGAGUGAAAAAGAACCUGAAACCGUGUACGUACAAGCAGUGGGAGCACCCUUUGGGUGUGACUGCGUACCUUUUGUAUAAUGGGUCAGCGACUUAUAUUCUGUAGCAAGGUUAACCGAAUAGGGGAGC